AUUGAACGCUGGCGGCAGGCUUAACACAUGCAAGUCGAGCGGGGUGAUGGUGCUUGCACUAUCACUUAGCGGCGGACGGGUGAGUAAUGCUUAGGAAUCUGCCUAUUAGUGGGGGACAACAUCUCGAAAGGGAUGCUAAUACCGCAUACGUCCUACGGGAGAAAGCAGGGGAUCACUUGUGACCUUGCGCUAAUAGAUGAGCCUAAGUCGGAUUAGCUAGUUGGUGGGGUAAAGGCCUACCAAGGCGACGAUCUGUAGCGGGUCUGAGAGGAUGAUCCGCCACACUGGGACUGAGACACGGCCCAGACUCCUACGGGAGGCAGCAGUGGGGAAUAUUGGACAAUGGGGGGAACCCUGAUCCAGCCAUGCCGCGUGUAUGAAGAGGGCCUUAUGGUUGUAAAGCACUUUAAGCGAGGAGGAGGCUCUUUUGGUUAAUACCCAGGAUGAGUGGACGUUACUCGCAGAAUAAGCACCGGCUAACUCUGUGCCAGCCGCCGCGGUAA
rnacentral:rRNA from 1 species